GUUAAUUUUUAAAUAUCAUUACAACGCAAAAUUAAAGUGAAAUAAUUUGAAGUUUUGUCAUUGAUUAUAUAUAGGUGUUUAUUGUAGCUAAGCUAUAUAUCAACAAGUGUGGUCUCAAUACAAAAUUUGAAAUGCGGCGUCGGAAGUACUCGUCAAACUUUACUUACAGGGACCAAUUCAUAGAGGUGAAAUAUAAGCUGAUAUAUAUGCAUGAUGGAUACUAGAAAUGGACGAUCGAACAAACGAACAAUGCAUGUUAGCGCUAUUUCUACAAUUUCUAUAAGUAAUAUUGUAAAACGUUCCAGAGGCGGAUUUAAUAACAAACCCAUCCAGCACGUGGUAUGACGGGUACAAAACAUGUCGACAAAAUGGUCUGGCCAUGGGUGCGUGGUGGGAUGUAACGUUUGACAUGAACAUAACAUAUCCCAUUUGGAUCAACCAAUUCGAAAUCAACUACCUAGACGGAGUCUUCAUAAUCGGUAAAUUCGAUGAUUGGGCCUAUGCUCGUUGUGUGAACAACACAGCGUUCGUUGGAAACGAAAGAUUGAUGCAGUUUAAGAAUGGACGCAAAUAUUGUCAGACGCAAAGCAAUGGGUCACAUAUAGAUUUGCCAUUUGUGAAUCACACUAACCUGUACAUGUUUAGUGCACUUAAACAUCGGCUGUAUUGGAUACACGAUGUAGACGUAGGGGCAUUUCUUAACUACAAAGAGUGUCCUGCUGACACAGACAAAACGGGCACUGACUGGUUUCCAGGCAAAAUUGGCUACAUGGAAAAAAGCGUGUGCACAUUCGGAACAAACGCUUAUGCAUACCGAUCGGAUAUUUAAUUCGGAGAUACUUAGCAAACUAGCCACCGUAACCGAGGAAAAUACGGAACAGCUGAUGGUCGGAGAUGUCGUAACAAUACGCUCGAUUCUCCACUCGGCUUGGGUCAGAAUAACAUAGAGCCGCAACGAUACACCCAUUCGUUCUUAGAUGUGGCAAACACACUUUUUGACGAGAAAAUUGAAUCAACAUGGAAUGUUUUAGUCAAUCAGACAAGAACUGGUGCCGAUUCAAUUGUAAACUUAGUGGAUAGGUUUUUGUCCAACAUGGUUAAGCAAUCGAACGGACCAAUUCACAAUCAUACCUUCAUUAAAUCGAACUUGUUUGUAGCAAUAUCAAAAACACCUGACUGUUCAAUUGUAAAUUUCCCAAGCGACACAUUUGUCGACUACAGAAAGGACAACAGGGACGAUUCAUGGGCUAUAGAUCGUUCUAAUAAUAUACGUGUCCCAUGCAUGAAAGAUCAGGUCUACAGCGGAGUUGUUUAUCGCAAUAUUUCACGUGUUGUUUCUUUGAACUCCGCCAGUGAUAGGAAAUGGUUAAAAACUGUGAACGCGCCAGUGUUCGUUCGCCUAUUUAUCAAAGACAACUGCUUUAACACCCGUUGAAAUAUCAUUCCAAAUAUAUGAUCGGUGGCCCUAAUAUCUGGUCUCCCGAAGGCUGCUCGCUGACCUCCUUUGACAGGAGCAUUGGCACUGUGACCUGCACGUGUAGCCACCUGACUAACUUCGCCGUGCUGAUGAGUCCAGCAGUAAUUAAAACUGAGGAGGCACACGCCCACAGCCGUGCUUUAGGGAUGUUCUCUAUCAUAGGAUGUUCUAUUUCAAUAGUCGGCCUUGCUCUUACCAUCAUCGUACAUAUUGUGUUCUGGAGAACGCUCUCGUCAGACCGGACUGUUAUGCCCUAUAUUCUUAAUGGGUUAUAUUGUGUUUCUAACCGGAAUCGAGAAAACAUCAAAUUCGACUGUAUGCGCAGCUAUCGCUGUGGUCCUGCACUACACUUUCCUCGUCGUGUUCUUUUGGAUGUUAGCCGAAGGACUCAUGCUCACCAACCUGGUGCUUAGCCCGUACCGCAAACGGCGCAUUAUUGUGCCGUUAAUCAUGGCAGCAUAUGGUAAAAUGUAUCACAUGUCAGAUAAACCGUUGUAAUAUGAUCGCCCCGUUCUGGAAACAUGGAGUAGUGGUUCUUUGUAGAUUUAGGAAUAUACUAUCACAUUACUAUCAGUCACACGGUUUGAGUGUCGUCAGCGAUACCAUUAAGUUGUCUUCACAUAUUUAUAAAAUCUCAAAUAACGAUGUUAUAUAAACUAUUAAAAAACAUCUAUGUUUAGAAAUAUCGUGUAUAUUUUCCGUCAUGUUGUGUGAUUCUUAACUUCUCUGAAAUAAAAGAUUAGCGGAUGGUAACAAACUUUCUCUUCGGGAAUGUGAUUGACCUUAAUUUUAAAUAAAAUAAACUUUUAAAUAAUGUUUAAGCCAUUCCAAUUCUGAUAGCUGUAAUAUCGAUGGGCGUCACACAGCUAAAAGGAUACGGAAACAAGUCGUUGUAAAUAUGUGUGAUAUAAAAAUUAAACUUAAAUGCAUAGGAAACAAACUGAUUACAUGUUAUAUUACUUCAAACUAUAUAUGAUGUAACCCGAACUGUUGUAUAGACGGGUAAUGAUAUACUAAUAAAACUAGCUGUUAUGCAUACGUUCUCAGUCGUGCGACUUAUUGGUACUAGGCACGAUCCCCAUUUGUGAAGCGUCAAAAAACAAAAAAAAACAAGGAACUAGUUUUUUUUCCAUUUAAAACAGUGGUAGCCUGACGCUUUCGAUGUAAACGAGUCAUUCAUUAUUUUUGCACCAAAACUCUUUCGUAAAUUGAUGGGCUGAGGAUAUUACUUUAUUAUAUAAUAAUGUAAUGUUACGAUCGAAUAAGAGUGAUGGCAUUUGUAUUGACACUUAUACUUGGAUACUUGUUAUACAAAUGUUUAUUUUAAUUUAAAGUUGCUGGUUGACGGUCGAUAGUGGUUUAUUCUGGACAUUUACUGGACCAAUCAUUGUAGUCGUCGUUGGUAAUAUUGUCAAUCUUUUGAUUAUCCUGAAGUUUGGAGUCUGUGGCAUUUCUGCUAUGGCAAAGAAAUCGGAUCUGGAAAAAAUAAAAACGGGCGCAAUGAGUGUUGGUGUGCUGACUCCCAUUUUUGGUAUCACGUGGCUUAUCGGCGUAUUUGCAGUAAAUGACGCCACAUCGGUCUUCCAGUGGCUAUUCGUCAUACUGAACUCACUACAGGGUCUAAUGAUAUUUAUUGUUAUGUGUCCACUGGACAGAAAGGUUCGAACCGCCUUCAAUGAGAAACGCCGACGAUUGUUUUAUGUUGAAAGUAGCACUUCUGAAGAAAACACCAAACACGAAAAGACCAAUAACAAGAUAACCUGGAUGCAGAUGCGAAGCACAUUUGCAACACGUGGGAACAGCUCGAAAGAUUCGCCCAGAACCGAAACUUCUGGAGGAGGCUUGUCGGCAGCCUAUGUUUCAGGCGGGACCACAUGCGAAGUUGAGAUAAGAUACUAAGAUACAAUACCUACAUCAUCAGUUUGAGUCAAAAGACUUUGGAGCUUUACUAAUCUUUCAAUAUGUAGAGCUACUGUAUUUGUAACUUCGGUAUAAAGUAUUUAUGAUACAAGCUCAUUUAACUAUUAUAAUAAUUGUACUGGCCUUACAAGAUUCCAAUCGAUUUAAAAAUUAUCUGAAUGUAACAACUAUAUGAUACUAGCUCUCUUAUGGUUUUUGAUGCGAUUUUGUUGAUUCUUGUCUGAUUUCAUUCAACUUCGGCUCAUAAAAUUACGGUUCUGGUGUUCUAGUCUGAUUACAACAACUGCAAAGUUUAAAGUAAUUACAUUAAAAUGUAUUCUCUUUUAUAGCUAUUUUAUUUGAAUAGUGAUGCGUUGAUGUUAAUUUUGAUGUAUACUUUAAUGUUAUGUAGAAAAUAAUUAUAGACAAAGUGUGAGGUUAAAAUCGAUUUAAACCCCAUGUGCUUUUGGAUUGCACCGUCCCAAGGUGGUAACGCCAGAGUUAAUUAUGCUUGUGCAUGCCAUAUGUACCUGUGUGUCUUGUCUUGUUCUUUUUUGUGUGUCUUACUGUUUGACUAUUGGUUCCUUUUCAUAAAUAAAUGAACGCAUUAUAUAACACUGGUUUGCAUUCCUGCUGGUGCAGCUGUAGUGUCAGUUUAUGUUUAUUUAAGAUAAUGCUCAUGUUGAAUACAUACCGUUACGUCAUUAUACAAUUUU